CGGCGGCUGCCGGGGUUUGCGGUGAUGCUGUCGGUGACGGCGGCGGCGCGGUGGAGGCCGCGGUCGUCGCC
rnacentral:tRNA from 1 species